UGAAUUGAAUCGGGCAGCUUCAGUUGACUGCCUCUUCAGGUUCAGAGCAUUCAGUUAUGGAGAGAGGCAUUCCUUGUGGAUCAUGUUUCCAGACUCAAACCCGAUCUGCUGCCCGAAGUACAACACCGUACAAGGUCACCGCUUACCUCCGUAUGGACGGCUUUUCAACUGUUAACAUUUUGUCCAGUGGCUCGUCGGAUACAUCAGCAUAUUUGUGAUGUGGAGCGAAGUUGACUGCGACGACGUGGUUCAAGUCUGCAUAGAACGAUUUCAGAAAGCAGGAAAAGAAAACGUCAUUGGUAAAUCCGGCAGUCUGAACAGCCAAGGGAGCAUCUCGCCGUGAGUCUAGGUCACAACCUUUGACCCGUAGUGUUUCCUGCUCAGGGUCACUGGUCCUCCGGAUGGCCCUCUUUCAUUUCCCUCAUUCACUCAUGCACUGCUGCUUUUUCUCAGUGGGCCAGCAGGAGGUCAACCUAGAUCACAGUUAACCUACUUCUGCUUAGGUCACUGCAACAGAGAAGUAAACCGUUCUUUAUUUAUUUGAUUAUAAGAAUUUUGAUUGAUUUAUUUCUUUUUUUACUGGCAUACAAUGGAAGUGCUGAAAUCAACUCAAACCUCUUCCCGCUUUUCAUAUCAUUCACUCUGCUCUUAGAUACAAAAGAGCAUAUUAUAACUGCAAUAUUCUUACAAUAUUUAAAAGUAAAUCAUUGAUAAUAAACUUAAUGUACACCUUUGUUCGGGUUACUCUCUGAAUCUAGAGGAAUAGGGUUUAUUACAAAAUAAGGUUUGCUAGGGACUGUAUAUGCUAAUCAAUCUUUGAA
rnacentral:lncRNA from 1 species